ACACAGGGAAGGAGGUGGUCCGCGAAAUUGAUAGCUUCAUGGACAUGUGAGGUGGCUACGCGCUAGCUGCAUGGCUCGGAAGAGCUAGCGAACUUACGCGCGCUGGCGAAUUCCCCGUAGCCACCCGGCCCCCGAGCAUCCCGGUCUGUCCAACCAGGAGCAUUGCUCGGGGGCCGCUCCAU
rnacentral:sRNA from 1 species